rnacentral:rRNA from 1 species
UACGUAGGGUGCAAGCGUUAUCCGGAAUCAUUGGGCGUAAAGAGUUCGUAGGCGGUUUGGUAAGUUUGUAGUUAAAUCUGGUCGCUCAACGAUCAACUCGCUACAAAAACUCCCAAGCUAGAGAUUGGCAGAGGCAACUGGAAUUCCACAUGUAGGGGUAAAAUCCGUUGAUAUGUGGAGGAACACCAAAAGCGAAGGCAGGUUGCUGGGCCAUUUCUGACGCUGAGGAACGAAAGCGUGGGGAGCAAACAGG